CCUACGGGUGGCAGCAGUGAGGAAUAUUGGUCAAUGGGCGCGAGCCUGAACCAGCCAAGUCGCGUGAGGGAAGACGGUCCUAGGGAUUGUAAACCUCUUUUGUCGGGGAGCAAAAGACGCCACGCGUGGCGUUCCGAGAGUACCCGAAGAAAAAGCAUCGGCAAACUCCGUACCAGCAGCCGCGGUAAUACGGAGGAAGCGAGCGUUAUCCGGAUUUAUUGGGUUUAAAGGGUGCGCAGGCGGAAGAUCAAGUCAGCGGUAAAAUUGAGAGGCUCAACCUCUUCGAGCCGUUGAAACUGGUUGUCUUGAGUGAGUGAGAAGUAUGCGGAAUGCGUGGUGUAGCGGUGAAAUGCAUAGAUAUCACGCAGAACUCCGAUUGCGAAGGCAGCAUACCGGCGCUCAACUGACGCGCAUGCACGAAAGUGUGGGGAUCGAACAGGAUUAGAUACCCCGGUAGUC
rnacentral:rRNA from 1 species